ACUUCCUCCGUUGAAUUCACCGUCCUCUCUUCAAAUCUAGC
rnacentral:sRNA from 1 species